GACGAACGCUGGCGGCGUGCCUAAUACAUGCAAGUAGAACGCACAGUUUAUACUGUAGCUUGCUACACCAUAGACUGUGAGUUGCGAACGGGUGAGUAACGCGUAGGUAACCUGCCUGGUAGCGGGGGAUAACUAUUGGAAACGAUAGCUAAUACCGCAUAAUAUUAAUUAUUGCAUGAUAAUUAAUUGAAAGGUGCAAUUGCACCACUACCAGAUGGACCUGCGUUGUAUUAGCUAGUAGGUGAGGUAACGGCUCACCUAGGCGACGAUACAUAGCCGACCUGAGAGGGUGAUCGGCCACACUGGGACUGAGACACGGCCCAGACUCCUACGGGAGGCAGCAGUAGGGAAUCUUCGGCAAUGGACGAAAGUCUGACCGAGCAACGCCGCGUGAGUGAAGAAGGUUUUCGGAUCGUAAAGCUCUGUUGUAAGAGAAGAACGGGUGUGAGAGUGGAAAGUUCACACUGUGACGGUAUCUUACCAGAAAGGGACGGCUAACUACGUG
rnacentral:rRNA from 1 species